rnacentral:rRNA from 1 species
UACAGAGGUCUCGAGCGUUGUUCGGAUUCAUUGGGCGUAAAGGGCGCGUAGGCGGCGGGGUAAGUCUGGUGUGAAAUCUCGGAGCUCAACUCCGAAAUUGCACUGGAUACUGCUCUGCUAGAGGGCUGGAGAGGAGAUCGGAAUUCACGGUGUAGCAGUGAAAUGCGUAGAUAUCAGGAGGAACACCAAUAGCGAAGGCAGCUCGCUGGGACGGUACUGACGCCUAAGGCGCGAAAGCGUGGGGACGAACAGG